GAGCUCUCUAGAGGAGAGGCUCAACCCGCGUCUACCAAACCCGACGGCGGCAACGCCGGCGCAGGUAGCCCCCUCCUUCUUCGUGCUUCCUCCUCCUCCUCCCUGGAGCUCUUCCUCCUUGCCAUCCUCUGUGAUUUCUAUCCUAUGGCGUUCCUCCUUUGCAGCCUUGCCUAACCCUAGAUCGACGGGGCUGCUGCCAUCUCAUCUCCUCUUCCCACAGGCGACGGGAGAAGCAGUGAAGACCUUGGCCUGCAGCUCUGUCAGCGACCAAGAAUGGAAAAAAGAAGGCCGCGUUGGGUGUGGAUGGAUUCGGCGAUUGGAUGGGCGAGGCCACAUCACAGUAUUUCUUUCUAUGGAAAACGCCAGUUUUAAUGAUGAGAUCUGAGCUAUUUGUUUGAAUGGAAUGUUUCUCUCAUUCACCAGGCUGAAGGGUGUUUGUCAGAACUUAAAAGAAGCUUCAUCAUGUUUAAGUUGCCUUUCUAAAUUGGCUUUCACAUGUACGUACGGCAGCAGCAUCAUAGGAAUUAGUCCUCAACCAAGGGAUUUAUGGAUGAUCACAAUAUAUGCUCAGUUGUUUCAACAAGAAUGGUGUCACGGUAACAUUUCUCUUAGAGAAAUACAUAUGCAUGCUUAUAUUUGUGUUGGCCAACAACUAGGACAUAGAUGCAAAGUAGUUGAAUGGAAUGCACAAAUUUCACAUUCACUUCCAAGAGGUAUCUUCCGUGCACAUAAAUUCUAAUAAAUUUACUGCAAUAGCUUUGCUCUAUCCCCUCACUUCAUAGGGUAUCAUGUUUUUUCAGUCCUCAGCGCUUUUUUUUUUUGCAGGAAUUUAGUAAUUGUGGUUAACUAGAUUUGUUUGCUUAUUGUACUAUUGAAAUGCAGGCUGAUAGGUUUGUGAUGUUACUGGUGGUUUGAAGCUUUUAUAGAAGCAUUUUUUGUGUCCUCGAGCUUAGGAGUAGGAGUUCAAGGAGCGGUGGUUGAAUUUUGUGAUCAGCUUGUGGUAUUCACUCUUUCUGAAGCUUUUAUAGAAGCAUUUUGUGUCCUCGAGCUUAGGAGUAGGAGUUCAAGGAGCGGUGGUUGAAUUUUGUGAUCAGCUGUGCUAUUGCACUCUUUCUGAUCUGCUGCUGAAGAAUGAUCCUUGACUUCAUUACAUAUUGU